UUAUUUUAGAUUUAGGGGCACACGUGCAGAUUUGUUACAUGAGAAUAUUGUGUGAUGCUGAGGUUUGGAGGACGGGUGCCAUCACCCAGAUGGCGAGCAUCAUACCUGAAGGAAGUUCUUUAAUCCUCCAUCCCCAACCCUCCAGGAGGCCCCAGUGACUUUUGUUCCCAUCUUUUUGUCCACGUGUCCUCAAUGUUUAGCUCCCACUUGUAAGUAAGAACAUGCGGUAUUUGGUUUUUUGCUCCUGCAUUAAUUUGCUUACGAGAAUGGCCUCCAGCUGCAUCCAUGUUGCUGCAAAGGACACGAUUCCAUUCUUUUUAUGGCUACGUAGUAUUCCACAGUGUAUAUGUACCACGUUUUCUUUAUGUAGUCCACCACUGAUGGGCACCUAGGUUUGUUCCAUGUCUUGCUAUCGUGAAUAACGCUGUGAUGAACAUAUGUGUCCUUUUGGCAGAAUCCUUUAUUUUCUUUUGGGUAUAUACCCAGUAAUGGGAUUGCUAGGUUGAAUGGUAGCUGUGUUUUAAGAUCUUUGAGGAAUCUCCAGACUGCUCUCCACGGGCCUGGGCUAAUUUAUGUUCCCACCAGCAGUGCGUGAGCAUCACCUUUUUUCUUCAGCUUCACCAGCAUCUGUUGUUUUUUUGACUUUGUAAUAAUCGCCAUUCUGACUGCUGAGCUGGCAUCUCAUUGUGGUUUUGAUUUGCAUUUCUCUGAUAAUGAGAAUUUUUUCUUAUACUUGUUGGUCACUUGUAUGUCUUGUUUUGAGAAGUAUCUGUUCAUGUCCUUUGCCUUUUUUUUUUUUUUUUUGAGACAGAGUUUCACUCUGUAGCCCACGCUGGAGUGCAGUGGCGCAAUCUCGGCUCACUGCAAGCUCCUCCUCCCUGGUUCACGCCAUUCUCCUGCCUCAGCCUCCCGAGUAGCUGGGACUACAGGCGGCCACCACCACGCCCAGCUAAUUUUUUAAUAUUUUUUAGUAGAGACGGAGUUUCACCGUGUUAGCCAGGAUGGUCUCGAUCUCCUGACCUUGUGAUCCGCCCGCCUCAGCUUCCCGAAGUGCUCGGAUUACAGGCAUGAGCCACCGCGCCCGGCCGCCCAUUUUUUAAUGGGGUUGUUUUUUGCUUGUUGAUUUGUGUAAGCGUCCUAUAGAUGCUGGAUAUUAGGCCUUUGUCAGAUGCAUAGUUUGCAGACAUUUUCUCCCAUUCUGUAGGGUGUCUGUUUCCUCCGUUGGCAGUUUCUUCUGCUGUGCAGAAGCUCUUCAGUUUAAUUAGGUAUCACUUGUCUAUUUUUGUUUUUGUUGCAAUUGCUUUUGAGGACUUAGCCAGCGUUCUUUGCCAACGCCAACGUCAAGAAGACGUUGUCUUCCAGGAUGUUUAUAGUUUGACGUCUUGCAUUUGAGUCUUUAAUCCAUCUAGAGUUGAUUUUCGUCUAUGCGGAAGGGUAAGAGUCCAGUUUCCUUCUUCUGCCUGUGACUGAGCUGCUUAUCCCAGCACCAUCUAUCGGACAGGGAGUCCUUUCCCCGCGGCUUGUUUUCGUUGGUCUUGUCAAAGACCAGACGGGUGUAUGUGUGCAGCUUCAUGUCUGAGUUUUCUAUUCUGUUCUAUAUGAUAAUGAAACCAAAUCAAUGUCUCUGCUCAGACCCCUUCUGACAAGGUCUGUGGCGCCCACCAUGGCGUUAGGGCCACAGCCUCCUGCCCCAUGUGCCAGGCCCGGCUCUGCCCAGCUCCCUGCAGCUGCGCCAGUGUGUGCUGUGACUCGUGCUCCUGGUUUGUCAUCUGCCUCUCAGUAGACACCACGGCCUUCAAGCUUUCUCCGCUCCGUGACCAGCAGCUGGGACGGGACCAGCAGUGCAUGCGGCUCUGGAUUCAUGUUUGUUGAAUGACUGACUGAACGGAGGCUCCCUUACAGAAGUGAACGGCGCGGCCCUCCCUGAGUUCCGGCCUGGCUCUGGAUACCAAGGAGCAAGGUGGUCAGGGGUCAGGGGCUGGAGUGGGGAGAUUGCCUGGGAGGGGGCUGGAGGGUGUGGUGGAACUGCAGGUUCUCUCCUUGACAUGCCUGUGGGGGAGCCUUUCCCGGCCCUCUCUCCGCUGGUUUUCACCCUUUCUCCGGUGCAGCCACACUGGGCAUCCCACCCCAGGGAUCCAGGAAGGGGGCGUGUCGGCCGAGUGCGAGCCCGUUUCUGAACACCCUGUGAAGUUGGUGAGAAUUCAGGUGCCUAUCGGCCGGGCUCCACCUGUGCACCAGGUGUGGCCGCCUCACUGUGACUUCAAAGGUCCCCGGGGAGGAAGGAGGCUCCCAGCUGCACACAGCCACAGUCUAGUCCUAGCAGCAGUGACCUUGGUUUGGAGCCCGGGUUGGGGACCCCAGUGAUGCCAAUUUUCUUUGCCCUCAUCAUCCCAAGGCGGCUGCUGCAGUUUCAGACAUCACAACUUUGUUCAGCGCAAAGGAGAAGGGGGACAGGGGAUGAGAAAACUGGAGUUCGGAGAUGGGCUUGCUCACGGCCUCACAGCCAGGGAGCCUGCUCACCCCAGUGUGUGCCCAGCCAGAAACCUGCGUCUGGGCCCCCAGAGGCUGGGCUCCUCACAGUGGGGACCCACCAUGUCCACUGCCUGCAGGAACCGACAGAGAGGCUGUGAUGCUGAGCCCCGGCCUCAUGCAACAAAGCUUUGCCCGACGGAAUGCACCCAGCGGCAGUGGAGAGCAGUGCUGGAUCCUGCGGGGUUGAGGCGGUGGAGCUUGGUCAGCAUGGGGUGCAGGGGCAGGAGGGGGGACGUGGCCAGGGGCCAGGGGCCCGGGAGCAGUCAGGGCUGGUCGGCUGACCAGAGGCUCAAGGAGAAGGUGAGCUUUGAGUGAUGGUCACUGGGCCAUAUGGGGUGGGGCAGCUCUGGCUCUGAGAGAACUCCUGCUUGGAGGAGGCCUUGGGCUUCCUGAGGCUGGUGGCCCCCAGGCCACACUCUGCCCUGGCCCUAAGGGACUCUGAGCUCUGGGCUCCCCGAAGCCUCAGAGAUGAGGAGCAAGCAGCUGCAGGUCCCCAAGCCAUAGUGGGGGAAGCCUGGGACUUUGCAGGGGAUGCCAGGUUAUAUCUGAUGCUGGCCCCUGGUCCUGAUCAGCCUGCUUUUAACAGCAGAUGGCGGAAAGAGAGGCAGAGGUGGUGUACUAGGCUGUUCUUGCAUUGCUAUAAAGAAAACCUGAGACUGGGAUGACCCACGCCAUUCAGGAAGGACCCACUCCUGUGAUCCAAACACCUCCUACCAGCCCCCACCUCCAGCACUGGUGAUUACAUUUCAACAUGAGAUCUGUGGGGACAAACAUCUAAACCAUAUCGAGUGGGCUCAGGAGGCAGCAGCCCUGGAAGAUGCCGAGUGCCUGGGAGGACAGAGGAAGAUGCCGGAGUUCACGGGUGCCAUGUGCAGGUGCAGCUCCUGCCAGGCGGCUGAAGAUGGGGCUCCAGGUGGUGGCAGUGCCCCAGCCCCACCAGUCCUUCCUGGGGAGAGGGUCACGGCUCAGUGGCUGAAGGGCUGGGGGGCUUGUCUGAAAGGAGUGAAUGCCUGCCCAUCAGGCACUUUCGGAAAAAGCUGGAAACCAAGAUUUCCCUGAGAAGUCCUGGGCUUUCUGGUGUUGGGAACUAUAGGAAGCAGCCGGCUUCUGCUUCCCCUCCAGGGUCCAGGAGAGAAUUUGUUUUGGACAAACCUUCUAGGCCACAUGCUUGGAGCACCUCUGACCUCACCCAGUGCCAUGCCCCCCAGCUGAGGCCCGGCCCCUGCAUGUGUUCAGGGAUGUGAGGUCAGGGAGUGGUUCAGGGAUGUGAGGCCUAGCACUGGUCCGCAGGCCUCUGGGAGCCCUCUGGGCCCCUUGCAGAGCGGGGCAGCACUUGGCUGAGGACUGCGAGGGCUGAGCUGUCCUGACCCAGUCCUGGGAUAGCAGAGCCGCCCACCCUGCCUGGGGGCUCCUGGGUGUCUCCUGCAGCCACGCCACUUGUAGCUGGGUUCUGUCCUGGGACAGCAGAGACACCCAGCCUGUCUCAGGUCUCCAGGGCGUCUCCUGCAGCCACGCCACUUGUAGCUGGGCUCUGUGCUUGUUGUCAGUGCAGCCCCAGCAGCCCAGAGCGGUUCACAAGCUCCCAGACCGAUUUACCUGCUCCAGUGAAACUCCUAUGAGGGCACUGAAACUUCCCAUUAUUACAGGGCUCCGGCCCACAGCCAUGGGGAUGCCCCUUCCCACACCAGCUCCUGCAACUGGAAGGCUGUGGGCCACUCACUCUGAAGCCUCCCCUUUCCAGACACAAGGGCAGGAGUCAAGGGCAGUGGCAACAUCCCCCAGAGAUGCCGAUGGACGGUGUUUCAACCUAAAUCGGACAGCCGCACUCCCUCCCUGGCCACACAGCAGGACAGAGACCAGGACACAGCGGCCCACCCGCUGCCCUCACACUCCCCUCCUCCACGGUGUGAACUAAACCGCACACGUGGCCUGUUACUCGGACAAGGUGGGAAGGUGUGGCCCCACCCCCUCCUAAGACAUUACGAUGCGGAGAACCCCCAAGCCCACCCUCAACUGUGUUCACUGGAAACAGCCCAGCAAGGGCUACGUGUGCCUUCCGGUUUCACAUUUGGGAAGUGGGUAAAAUGCAGUAUUGACAGUUCUCAAAUAUUGGUGUUGAUCUUAACUGCUAGAGAUACCGUGAGGGAAAAGAGCGCUUUUGUUCAACGUUUAUGAAUGGAUAAAGGAGGAACUGAAACCAGCAAAGGGGCGGCUGGCCCUGGACCAGACGCGGCUUCGCCGAGGAGCUGUGGGCAGGGUGGGCCGGCACCUCCUUUCCUCUCGAGAAGGAUGUGGAGAGCAGGUGGCUCGUGCCACCUGCCUCCCUGGCCCUCGUCCAUGCCUCUGCACUGACCGCUGGGCUCCUGCCGCCCGGGGAUGUGGGGAAAGGCCUUGGAGUGGGAUGGAGGUCCGCGUGUGGGUGUGUGGCAGGUACCGGUGGAUUGAGGUCCAUGUGUGGGUGUGAACCUGGGUGUGAGACUGUGUGUGGGUGGGUGUGUACGUGAGUGUGCAUGUGCACGUACACCUGUGUAUGUAUGCGUGUGAGGUGUGUGAACUGUGAGUGUGCUGUGGCUGUGAGCGUGUGCACACGUGAACUGAGCGUGACAGUGCGAAUGUGUGUGCCGCGAAUUCCACUGGCCACAUGAAUGCAGGCGAGGCCGCUCCGCUAGGCUGUGGAUUUCCAGCAUGGCCACGCUGGUUGCCUGUGUUGUCUUGUUGACACAGGAUGGAGAAAGAACGAUGCAGGAUGCAUCUCUGAGCCUGGCUCAGGCACCCAGAGGGAGCUGGGUUUGGGAGCAGCUGCUCUGCGUAGCCCUGGCUUGGAUGCUGCGAGCCAGGUUUAGGGAUGCCAGUGAGACCCGCUGAAGCGUUGGGGCCCUACCCGAGGUGAGGCGUGCCCAGGUCUGGGGACUCCUGUCUUGGGGCCCCUCCCAGGAGAACCACCCCCCUCCUCUGGCAGGAAGCCCCCAAAGCUGUGGAGGAGCCCUGGGCCCACAGACAGCAUCCCUGCUGCUGGGGACCCCAGGCCUGUGCGGGUGCCGCUGCCAUGGGGCUGAUGGGGCCCAGCCCAGCAGCCCCUGCCUUUGCUUUCCCGGCUUCUCUGCGGCUCUGUGCUUUUGCUGCCCCAUUCCAGGCCGGAAGGCUCCCGCGCCUCCAUGGAUCUUCAUGAUUUGGCCAACCAGAGUGAGCACCGUGAGGAAGUGGAGACAGACACAACUUUCAGCAGCAGAAGACAGGAUAAUAAAGUUGGGUUUGGUUUAUGAUCUAACGUGACCAUUAAAAGUGUUUAAUAAACAACGUUAAAGACUACUUAGUGGCAGAUGCAUCCGGCAAUGCUUAGCAUAGCCUCAUGACUGUCAAUACGCACAGGCUUGAAAAACACCUGCAGGAUACAUGUGGGCAUGUUAGUGUGGGUUAUCUCAGCAGGGCGGCAUAUCGAAUCUCGGUGCCCUUCUGUAGUGUCUAUAUUUUCUACAGUGAAGCUGGGAUACUUUGGUGAGCAGAGGCAUUGUUUUCAAAGUUCCCAUUGGUACUUCCAUCACAUCCCCGUGUGGUUCUGUCCUGGACCGGCUGCCCACUGAGGUCCCACUCGCCCCUACCCUGCCCUGUCUGGCCAGCUGGGUACCUGCCCAGGAGGAAGAGGCUCAGUGUUUGGGGCCUGUGUUAUGCCCUGAAAAGCCACUGCUGUUGGGUGAGGGCCCAUGAGGCCUUCAGUUUGCCAUCGUCAUGUGCUUCUGAAGAGCCAGGAUGCUGUCCACUGUUUGUCUCCUGGCGGGACAGAAUUCCACUCAGUGCAUAUCAGGGGCAGUGAUGGGGCUGGGGGUGUGAGGGCUCAGCUGUGCCCUGAACUCCUUCACAGUCUUGCAGGAGGGGUCAUGGAGCCAUAUCUGGGUUUGCAAUUUUUGGAAAGUUACGUGACGAUCUGCACUCAGGAAUGCUGAGUGUUCGGCAGGCCCCAUGAACAGUGAUCAAAUGUGACGCUGUGUGUCCCACAGCCUAAGGGCUGUGGCAGAGACCAGGAGGGCCAUCAGCUCCCACAGCUUUCGAGUCCACCUCAGGGCUCCUCCUUGCUGACCUCCCUGGGUUGUCAGUGGAGACAGCCACCCUCCCACAGAGCACCUGCCUGAAAUGGGCCAGGCCGCCCCUGUGCCCUGGCUCUUGCUGCACAUGCUGAGGUCAGCACGGAGGCGCCCUCGGGCACCAGCAUGCCCUCGGGUUUGCAGCUUGUCAAAUAUCCCAUGAAGGCAACCUGACCAAAUGUGCUCUAACACCACUGGACCAAUGGAACGUCUUGGGCUGAACAGAUGCAGC
rnacentral:lncRNA from 10 species